UACGUAGGGUGCAAGCGUUGUCCGGAAUUAUUGGGCGUAAAGAGCUUGUAGGCGGUCUGUCGCGUCGGCUGUGAAAACUCGGGGCUCAACCCCGAGCCUGCAGUCGAUACGGGCAGACUAGAGUGCUGUAGGGGAGACUGGAAUUCCUGGUGUAGCGGUGAAAUGCGCAGAUAUCAGGAGGAACACCGGUGGCGAAGGCGGGUCUCUGGGCAGUAACUGACGCUGAGGAGCGAAAGCGUGGGGAGCGAACAGGA
rnacentral:rRNA from 1 species